rnacentral:misc_RNA from 1 species
GGGAGCAACCAGAAAAUAAGAUAUUACAAAUUUGAAAUAUGUAUUCCAUCCACCAUCAAAGGCUAAUACAUAACCACAAAAUACCUUCUCCACCGUCAUUCAAAAUCUAACAACACAAUGAUCAAAACUCGUUACAUCCACAAAAGAUCAGUAGCAUAAUAAUUAAAAUGGAGAAAAAAUGAAAUUACCUGCACUGGAAUUCGCAUAUCUAAACAAGACUUCACGGUCCCAUAAACCCUAACUCGCUCCACUCAUGCUUCCCAAAUCCUUGAGCUCAAUUACCCCGACCCUCUCACUUUCCGGCAAAACAGACCAAUUGGGCGACUGCACAGCCCUCAGCCACUUGAAAUCGUCCACGUUGCUCCAAUUCCCAGUGUCCUCCGCCAAGCCUGCCUUCCUCAUAUCGUCCUCAAUCCCUUCAUAGCUCAAACGGUAAGGCGCGAAUCUAACGCCUUCACAAUCCUCAAUUAUAGGCCUACUCCUCACUCUCAGAUAAAAAUCACUUCCUUUCGCGUAAUGUAUCCUUAUCUGAUGUGAAGCCAACACAAACACGCAGUUCUCAACUUCCUCAAUCAAAAUUGAACCCAUCACUGGCCCCGCAUAAACUCUGCAAUUCCUUAAUCGAUUAAUGAAAAAUGCAUUAACGCAACCUAUCAACCUCACUUCACAUGAAUCCAGAUCCGAUAAGAUAAAUUCACCGGUCUCUGAGCUUCUGAAAUUUUUUGUUAAUAUCCCAUUUUCUUUGUUUCUAAUUCCUGGCAAAUCCCUAAUUGCAAACGCUGGUUUUGGUACUUCGGGUUUUGUGAUUUCGGUUUCUUUAGGUUCAGAGAGUGAAGAUUUGCUUGUAGAUUUGUUUUUGAAGGAGAAUUUCUUCUUGGGGACAAGCUCGGCGUUCAGACUAUCGAGAGACUGCUUAAGUUCCGAGACGGCUUUGAGAGAGGAACGAAGUUCGUAGGAGGGAAGUAAGUAGGAGUUUUCGGCGACAAGUUGUUCAAGAGCCGAAAUGGAGGAGGAAAUAUCGACGAGAUGAGAUUUUAGGAGUUUGAUAUCGGUGGCGGCGAGUUUCGAUGAUUCGGAAAGUUGGAACUCAAUUGAGUUUCUGGAAUCGGAUAAUUUGGAAAGGAAAGCAGCGGUGGAUUCGGUAGCAGAGGAGGAGGAGGAUGAUUUGGUGAGGGUUUGAUGGCGGUUAGAGAGGCGAUCGAGCAUUGCUUGGUGCCUUUUUUGAAGGGAGUGGUCUAGGGGUUUGGUUGGGUUGGAGAGAUCUGUUGGUGGUGAUGUCGCCGUUUCUCCUUCCAUCGCUGGCUGUUCGUAUGGCCGUAGCAGUCACCAGCUGGCCGGGAGCUUAUGCGAAUUAAUGACGA